rnacentral:lncRNA from 1 species
GAUCAAAUGCAUGAAGGGUUUUGAACUCCACCUAUAUGAAAAGUGUCGCCAGUUCGAACGCUGGAUAAUAAAAGCAGUGGCGCUAGCGCGAAAAUAGCUAGUUAUGAUAAAAAUUUUAGUACUAAUAGACUUGCCUACUUAAGUACGUGCGACAUUGAUGAAAUGGAAUUGGCUUGAAUAUAGCAGAAUGGAUACAGAGGGUUGCUAAGUCAGAUGUCUGGUGAACACAUUCGUAAUGAGUAUGGGUCUAGUAGGUGUACUAGUAAGGAAGCGAGGUACUGAGUUUAGCGUCGACAAGGCAAGUAGUGGAUCUUUAUUAUCGAAUGAUAUGGGAGACAGUCAAAGCAUCAGUCUCUGAACACAUUCGUAAUGAGUAUGGGUCUAGUAGGUGUACUAGUAAGGAAGUGAGGUACUGAGUUUAGAUUCAUAUAGCUGAUCUGAACUAGUUGGGAAUUGAGGCUUAGCUGAUGAUCUCAAUGCAUGAGGGUGUUGAAGUUUCCUCCAACUGACAAAAGACUACAUAACAAAUACAUUUCU